rnacentral:rRNA from 1 species
GCUUACGGCCACACCUCCCUGAGCACCGCCGAUCUCGUCUGAUCUCGGAAGCUAAGCAGGGUCGGGCCCGGUUAGUACUUGGAUGGAGUUACCGCCUGGGAAUACCAGUGCUGUAAGCC